rfam:Ictidomys tridecemlineatus contig020091, whole genome shotgun sequence.
AGGCCCUUCCUUCCCAGCCCAGCUCCCGCUCACCCCUGCCACGUCAAAGGAGGCAGAAGGGGAGUCCAGAGCAGAGAGGGGACUG